rnacentral:rRNA from 1 species
GACGAACGCUGGCGGCGUGCUUAACAUAUGCAAGUCGAGCGGAAAGGCCCUUCGGGGUACUCGAGCGGCGAACGGGUGAGUAACACGUGAGUAAUCUGCCCCAGGCUCUGGGAUAGCCACCGGAAACGGUGAUUAAUACCGGAUACGACAACCGAUUGCAUGAUCUGGUUGUGGAAAGUUUUUCGGCCUGGGAUGUGCUCGAGGCCUAUCAGCUUGUUGGUGAGGUAAUGGCUCACCACGGCUUCGACGGGUAGCCGGCCUGGGAGGGUGACCGGCCACACUGGGACUGAGAAACGGCCCAGACUCCUACGGACGGCAGCGGUGGGGAAUAUUGGACAAUGGGCGGAAGCCUGAUCCAGCAACGCCGCGUGAGGGAUGACGGCCUUCGGGUUGUAAACCUCUUUCAGCACAGACGAAGCGCAAGUGACGGUAUGUGCAGAAGAAGGACCGGCCAACUACGUGCCAGCCGCCGCCGUAAUAC